AUGCCUUUAUGAAGAGUUAUUUUGGCAGCUGUCAAAAUUAAAGUGGCGCAAAACUUUCAUAUUUCACGGAAAUUAUGUUUUGUUUAUAAACGUAGAAUUUUUUUAUGCAUUUAACGCUUCUGCACUAAUUGAAUUAAAUUAUAAUAGAAAAAAAAAAUGUGUCGAAAUCGGAGUAUAUUGCAAGCCAACGUAUCGAAAAGCUGUGGAAUUUUCAUAAAAUGUAGGUUGCAAUUGCAGUGAACGAACACCAUUUCUAAUCCUUUCGCACGACAAUGAAUAUUUCGUGGUCACUGUUGACUAAGGACAAACCAUCGUAAUGGUGAAGACCAAUGUACAGUGUACUCCAUACGUACAACAAUAACAAUCCAAAGUGCAUUCUUUGAACUACAUUGACAAGCAAAUGGUGUGCAUUCCACUUACUGCGCUAUUCUAAAAGACUUUGUUGUUGGAGGUAUAGUGCUUAAGUGUUUAUAUUCUUAUUGGUUUAAUCAAUUUAUAGACAGCAAGUCAUAGACAAAUGGGAAACUAAUCUAGCGAAUGGCCAGCUUAACUCACUCACAAUUGUGGAAAGUUUUAUGCCUUGUAAAUAACAUAUCAGAUAACAUAUACAUAUGUAAGCAUGAAUCUGUGAAAUGUAUUUACCAAAAUAUAGCGAAUACGAGUAACCAAAACAUCAAACUUGAGGCAAUCAAUAUACAUUGCGAAUUGCUAAACAACAUAAACACUAUCCAAUAGACGGAAUAUCAGAAUCUUUGAAUUAUAUAUAAUGAAUACUUACUUGGAAAGUUACGCUAUAGUUGGCUUACAGUGUCUUACAACAAGUCUUCUUGUGACAUAAAUAUUAAGUAUAACUAAUCUAAUCAAUGCUAAGUUCAACUUAUGUGAACUAAUAUUAACUUCAGCUAUGUAAAGAUCUAUUUAAUUGAUCCUUAAACCAUAAGAUUUGAUAUCAAUGUUUUACAGCUGCUGGAACCUAUCUUUAAGUGAUGUGAAUGUACAAUUAAUCUAGCGAAUUAUCGACUCGAUUUAUCGUAAUACUUUGAAAUACUCACUAAAUAUUCACUUCAUAAAUUAUACUUCAAAUUUCAUCGAA